rnacentral:rRNA from 1 species
GAUGAACGCUGGCGGCGUGCCUAAUACAUGCAAGUCGAGCGAACAGACGAGGAGCUUGCUCCUCUGACGUUAGCGGCGGACGGGUGAGUAACACGUGGAUAACCUACCUAUAAGACUGGGAUAACUUCGGGAAACCGGAGCUAAUACCGGAUAAUAUAUUGAACCGCAUGGUUCAAUAGUGAAAGACGGUUUUGCUGUCACUUAUAGAUGGAUCCGCGCCGCAUUAGCUAGUUGGUAAGGUAACGGCUUACCAAGGCAACGAUGCGUAGCUGACCUGAGAGGGUGAUCGGCCACACUGGAACUGAGACACGGUCCAGACUCCUACGGGAGGCAGCAGUAGGGAAUCUUCCGCAAUGGGCGAAAGCCUGACGGAGCAACGCCGCGUGAGUGACGAAGGUCUUCGGAUCGUAAAACUCUGUUAUUAGGGAAGAACAAAUGUGUAAGUAACUAUGCACGUCUUGACGGUACCUAAUCAGAAAGCCACGGCUAACUACGUG